AAUUUUUUCACGUAACCAGGAAAACCAGCUCUGAGUAAAGUUGAAGUUCUUGAGAGAGAGAUUCAUAAAAACCAAACACUGGUCCAGGUUGAGAUUCAGUCAGGAAGGCCACACCAAAUUCGUAUCCAUCUUUCUUACAUAGGACAUCCUUUGUUAGGGGAUCCUCUUUAUGUUCUUGGUGGACAACCAAAGUGCUUAGAUUCUGACUUUGUAGAUGAGAGUUUUGCAGAUGAUGGGUAUGCAGUUAUUGUGAUAUAGAGCAUUCUUUUGUGGGUUUUUCAUCAUACUAUUAAAGCAUCCACAAUGGAUUCCCUAAACCACCUCUUUAGAUAAAAUUCAGGAAGGAAGUGAGAAAACUCACCUCCAAGUUCCAACCAUGCUCUCUAUCCAACUCCUAAAAUAGGGAGACCUCUAGGAACUCCUAAAUCUGAGAAGAGAGAAAAGACUCCUAGUGACUCCCUAUAAUUAAAUGU